rnacentral:rRNA from 1 species
UACGAAGGGGGCUAGCGUUGCUCGGAAUCACUGGGCGUAAAGGGUGCGUAGGCGGGUCUUUAAGUCGGGGGUGAAAUCCUGGAGCUCAACUCCAGAACUGCCUCCGAAACUGCCGGCCUUGAGUUCGGGAGAGGUGAGUGGAACUGCGAGUGUAGAGGUGAAAUUCGUAGAUAUUCGCAAGAACACCAGUGGCGAAGGCGGCUCACUGGCCCGAUACUGACGCUGAGGUGCGAAAGCGUGGGGAGCAAACAGG